rnacentral:rRNA from 1 species
GAUGAACGCUGGCGGCGUGCCUAAUACAUGCAAGUCGAGCGAAUGGAUUAAGAGCUUGCUCUUAUGAAGUUAGCGACGGACGGGUGAGUAACACGUGGGUAACCUGCCCAUAAGACUGGGAUAACUCCGGGAAACCGGGGCUAAUACCGGAUAACAUUUUGAACCGCAUGGUUCGAAAUUGAAAGGCGGCUUCGGCUGUCACUUAUGGAUGGACCCGCGUCGCAUUAGCUAGUUGGUGAGGUAACGGCUCACCAAGGUAACGAUGCGUAGCCGAGCUGAGAGGGUGAUCGGCCACACUGGGACUGAGACACGGCCCAGACUCCUACGGGAGGCAGCAGUAGGGAAUCUUCCGCAAUGGACGAAAGUCUGACGGAGCAACGCCGCGUGAGUGAUGAAGGCUUUCGGGUCGUAAAACUCUGUUGUUAGGGAAGAACAAGUGCUAGUUGAAUAAGCUGGCACCUUGACGGUACCUAACCAGAAAGCCACGGCUAACUACGUGCCAGCCGCCGCGGUAA